AACGAACGUUAGCGGCGCGCCUAACACAUGCAAGUCGAACGCGACUGGGGGCAACUCCAGUUGAGUGGCGCACGGGUGAGUAACACGUAGGUAAUCUCCCCUCGAGUGGUGGAUAACCUUCCGAAAGGAGGGCUAAUACAGCAUAUGACCACGGCUUCGAAAGAGGCCGAGGUAAAAGCGGAGGAUCGCAAGACUUCGCGCUUGAGGAUGAGCCUGCGGCCCAUCAGGUAGUUGGCGGGGUAAUGGCCCACCAAGCCUAAGACGGGUAGCUGGUCUGAGAGGAUGAUCAGCCACACUGGAACUGAGACACGGUCCAGACUCCUAAGGGAGGCAGCAGUGGGGAAUCUUGCGCAAUGGACGAAAGUCUGACGCAGCGACGCCGCGUGGGUGAUGAAGGCCUUCGGGUUGUAAAGCCCUGUGGGGAGGGACGAAUAAGUUGCGGUUAAUACCCGCAGCGAUGACGGUACCUCCUUAGCAAGCACCGGCUAACUCUGUGCCAGCCGCCGCAGUAAUAC
rnacentral:rRNA from 1 species